AUUGAACGCUGGCGGCAGGCCUAACACAUGCAAGUCGAACGAGUGGCGGACGGGUGAGUAAUGUGUGGGAAACUGCCCGUUGGAGGGGGAUAACUACUGGAAACGGUAGCUAAUACCGCAUACCAUCGGAUGUACCCAGAUGGGAUUAGCAGGUAGGUGGGGUAACGGCUCACAUAGGCGACGAUCCCUAGCGGGUCGGAGAGGAUGACCAGCCACACGGGAACUGCGACACGGUCAAGACUCCUACGGGAGGCAGCAGUGGGGAAUAUUGCACAAGGGGCGCAGUCCUGAGGCAGCCAUGCCGCGUGUAUGAAGAAGGCCUUCGGGUUGUAAAGUACUUUCAGCGAGGAGGCGUUACUCGCAGAAGAAGCACCGGCUAACUCCGUGCCAGCAGCCGCGGUAAUUC
rnacentral:rRNA from 1 species